rnacentral:rRNA from 1 species
UACGGGGGAGCAAGCGUUGUUCGGAUUUACUGGGCGUAAAGGGCGCGUAGGCGGCCUCUGCAAGUCGACUGUGAAAUCUCCGGGCUUAACCCGGAAAGGUCAGCCGAUACUGCAGGGCUAGAGUGCAGAAGGGGCAACUGGAAUUCUCGGUGUAGCGGUGAAAUGCGUAGAUAUCGUAAGGAAGACCAGUGGCGAAGGCGGGUCUCUGGACAGUUCCUGACGCUGAGGCACGAAGGUCAGGGGAGCAAACGGG